UGAAUACGAGACGCUAAGGCGUCGAAGUAGUGUAUGUCAUACUUCCAAGAAAAGCUUGCACUGUCAUAAGUAAAAAAUGCCUGUACCAUAACUGACACAGGUGGGUAGGUAGAGUAUACUAAGGGGCGCGAGAUAACUCUCUCUAAGGAACUCGGCAAAAUAACUCCGUAACUUCGGGAGAAGGAGUACCUUAUUCUAUAAGGUUGCAAUAACAAGAUCCAAGCAACUGUUUAUCAAAAACACAGGUCUCCGCUAAGUCGUAAGACGAUGUAUGGGGGCUGACGCCUGCCCAGUGCCAGAAGGUUAAAGAAGUCGGUUAGCAUUAGCGAAGCUGGUAACUGAAGCCCUGGUGAACGGCGGCCGUAACGAUAACGGUCCUAAGGUAGCGAAAUUCCUUGUCGGGUAAGUUCCGACCCGCACGAAAGGCGUAAUGAUUUGGAUACUGUCUCGGAGAGGGGCUCGGUGAAAUAGACUUGUCUGUGAAGAUGCGGACUACCUGCACCAGGACAGAAAGACCCUAUGAAGCUUUACUGUAACUUGAAAUUGAAAUUGGACUUUAUUCGCGCAGUAUAGGUGGGAGGUGUUGAUUAUAAUCUUGCGGGAUUAUUGGAGCCAUCAGUGAGAUACCACUCUUGUAAUGUUAGAUUUCUAACUUUGAAUCAUUAUCUGGUCAAAGGACAGUUUCAGGCGGGCAGUUUGACUGGGGCGGCCGCCUCCCAAACGGUAACGGAGGCGUACAAAGGUUUCCUCUGAACGGGUAGAAAUCGUAUCUAGAGUGUAAAGGCAUAAGGAAGCUUGACUGUGAGACCUACAAGUCGAACAGGGACGCAAGUCGGUCUUAGUGAUCUGACGGUACUGAGUGGAAAGGCCGUCACUCAACGGAUAAAAGUUACUCUAAGGAUAACAGGCUGAUCUCCCCCAAGAGUUCACAUCGACGGGGAGGUUUGGCACCUCGAUGUCGGCUCAUCGCAUCCUGGGGCGGUAGUACGUCCCAAGGGUUGGGCUGUUCGCCCAUGAAAGCGGUACGCGAGCUGGGUUCAGAACGUCGUGAGACAGUUCGGUCCAUAUCCGGUGUAGGCGUUAGAAUAUUGAGAGGAGCCUUCUUUAGUACGAGAGGACCGAGAAGGACAUACCUCUGGUGUACCAGUUAUCGUGCCAACGGUAAACGCUGGGUAGCUAUGUAUGGAGUGGAUAACCGCUGAAAGCAUCUAAGUGGGAAGCCCACCUCAAGAUAAGUAUUCUCC
rnacentral:rRNA from 1 species